rnacentral:rRNA from 1 species
UGGGGAAUAUUGGACAAUGGGCGAAAGCCUGAUCCAGCCAUGCCGCGUGUGUGAAGAAGGUCUUCGGAUUGUAAAGCACUUUAAGUUGGGAGGAAGGGCAGUAAGCGAAUACCUUGCUGUUUUGACGUUACCGACAGAAUAAGCACCGGCUAACUCUGUGCCAGCAGCCGCGGUAAUACAGAGGGUGCAAGCGUUAAUCGGAAUUACUGGGCGUAAAGCGCGCGUAGGUGGUUCGUUAAGUUGAAUGUGAAAGCCCCGGGCUCAACCUGGGAACUGCAUCCAAAACUGGCAAGCUAGAGUAGGGCAGAGGGUGGUGGAAUUUCCUGUGUAGCGGUGAAAUGCGUAGAUAUAGGAAGGAACACCAGUGGCGAAGGCGACCACCUGGGCUCAUACUGACACUGAGGUGCGAAAGCGUGGGGAGCAAACAGG